GGCGGAGGACGGUUUUCGGUCGUUUAAAAAAACGCCCAGCAUGUUCCUGCAGGUUCGCAAAGGAUUUCGAGGAAUUUAAGGUUUUCUAGCGCUAUUGUUCAGCCUGGAACCAUGGCGUUAUGUUCGAGGCUUCGACGCGUGCGGAUGCUGGUCGGAGUUUUCUACUAAAUAGCCUGGGAGGAAGUGAAGUUAUGGGGCUCGUAUGUACAUUUUUAUUUGCGAACUGAAAGUAGUGGAACGGAAGGGAAGACUCGAUUUGAUAAUUGGCAACAAUGGUAAUGGUACACUUUAUGCGAGUUAACGUGGGUUUACUUGGGAGACUGAUUAUUGUUUGUUAUGAGUAAUGUUAAUUUUUAGUAUAUAAAUGAAUAUGAAGAGAGCAAAGCAUCGAGAUCGUAGUAUUGUAUAGAUUGUAGUCAGUCUUUGGAGCAUUUGAUUGAUGUCCUUUUUAUUUAUUACAAAGUGUUAUCAUUAAGGAAUUCGACAACUUAUUGGUUCUAUAGAUUCCAGGUAAUGGUACCUGAUAAAGGUAAUGGUUAUUUUAGAUCAAAUCUCAAUAUUUUCAGUCCAAUUUCAGACAGUGUUGCACCGAUCUAGAACUAAUUUACAAUUUCUCCAACACGGAGUAUGUUGACAUUUAUGUUAUACAUACUGUGAAUUAAUGGUUUUAUCGAGAACUUAAUAAAGUACACGUCUGUUAAUCACCGCAAA